rnacentral:rRNA from 1 species
GACGAACGCUGGCGGCGUGCCUAAUACAUGCAAGUAGAACGCUGAAGAGAGGAGCUUACUCUUCUUGGAUGAGUUGCGAACGGGUGAGUAACGCGUAGGUAACCUGCCUUGUAGCGGGGGAUAACUAUUGGAAACGAUAGCUAAUACCGCAUAACAAUGGAUGACACAUGUCAUUUAUUUGAAAGGGGCAAUUGCUCCACUACAAGAUGGACCUGCGUUGUAUUAGCUAGUAGGUGAGGUAAUGGCUCACCUAGGCGACGAUACAUAGCCGACCUGAGAGGGUGAUCGGCCACACUGGGACUGAGACACGGCCCAGACUCCUACGGGAGGCAGCAGUAGGGAAUCUUCGGCAAUGGGGGCAACCCUGACCGAGCAACGCCGCGUGAGUGAAGAAGGUGUUCGGAUCGUAAAGCUCUGUUGUAAGUCAAGAACGGGUGUGAGAGUGGAAAGUUCACACUGUGACGGUAGCUUACCAGAAAGGGACGGCUAACUACGUG